rnacentral:rRNA from 1 species
UACGUAUGGUGCAAGCGUUAUCCGGAUUUACUGGGUGUAAAGGGAGCGCAGGCGGUGUGGCAAGUCUGAUGUGAAAGCCCGGGGCUCAACCCCGGUACUGCAUUGGAAACUGUCGUACUAGAGUGUCGGAGGGGUAAGCGGAAUUCCUAGUGUAGCGGUGAAAUGCGUAGAUAUUAGGAGGAACACCAGUGGCGAAGGCGGCUUACUGGACGAUAACUGACGCUGAGGCUCGAAAGCGUGGGGAGCAAACAGG